rnacentral:snRNA from 1 species
GUGCUCACUUCAGCAGCACAUAUACUAAAACAGAGAUUAGCAUGGCCCCUGUGCAAGGAUGACCCACAAAUCCGUGAGGCAUGCCAUAUUUUU